GACGAACGCUGGCGGCGUGCUUAACACAUGCAAGUCGAACGCUGAAGCUCAGCUUUUGUUGGGUGGAUGAGUGGCGAACGGGUGAGUAACACGUGAGUAACCUGCCUCCUUCUUUGGGAUAACGCCCGGAAACGGGUGCUAAUACUGGAUAUUCACUGGUCUUCGCAUGGGGGUUGGUGGAAAGGGUUUUUCUGGUGGGGGAUGGGCUCGCGGCCUAUCAGCUUGUUGGUGGGGUGAUGGCCUACCAAGGCUUUGACGGGUAGCCGGCCUGAGAGGGUGACCGGUAACAUUGGGACUGAGAUACGGCCCAGACUCCUACGGGAGGCAGCAGUGGGGAAGAUUGCACAAUGGGCGCAAGCCUGAUGCAGCGACGCCGCGUGAGGGAUGGAGGCCUUCGGGUUGUGAACCUCUUUCGCUCAUGGUCAAGCCGCAACAAUGGUUGUGGUGAGGGUAGUGGGUAAAGAAGCGCCGGCUAACUACGUG
rnacentral:rRNA from 1 species